AGUGAACGCUGGCGGCAGGCCUAAUACAUGCAAGUCGAACGGCAGAACAGUGGUUCUUGCUCCAUGCGUGGCGGGUGGCGGACGGGAGGGGAAUACAUGGGCCUCUGCGCAGUGGUGGGGGAUAACGUAGGGACACUUACGCUAAUAACGCCCGCGGCCUGCGGGGGAAGGACGUGGGGCUCCGAGCCUGGCGCGUUAGGCUGGGCCCAUGUUCGAUUAGCGAGUGGGCGGGGCAAAGGCCCACCACGGCGCCGAUCGAUAGCUGGUCUGUGAGGAUGAUCAGCCACACUGGGACUGAGACACGGCCCAGACACCUACGGGGGGCAGCAGUAGGGAAUAUUGGACAAUGGGCGCAAGCCUGAUCCAGCCACGCCGCGUGAGUGAAGAAGGCCCUCGGGUUGUAAAACUCUUUUGUCCGGGAAGAAAAGCAUCGUACUAAUACCUCGGGGUGCUUACGGUACCGGAAGAAUAAGCACCGGCGAACUUCGUG
rnacentral:rRNA from 1 species